AUCUCCAUAAAGUUUGACCUCAAAUCAGGUAGGACUACCCGCUGAACUUAAGCAUAUCA
rnacentral:rRNA from 1 species